rnacentral:rRNA from 1 species
UAAGAAUAUUCCGCAAUGGACGAAAGUCUGACGGAGCGACGCCGCGUGGAUGACGAAGGCCGAAAGGUUGUAAAAUCCUUUUGCUGAUGAAGAAUAAGCGUGGUAGGGAAUGACCGCGUGAUGACAUUAGUCGGUGAAUAAGCCCCGGCUAACUACGUGCCAGCAGCCGCGGUAACACGUAGGGGGCAAGCGUUGUUCGGAAUUAUUGGGCGUAAAGGGCAUGUAGGCGGUUUGGUAAGCCUGAUGUGAAAUCCUGCAGCGUAACUGUGGAAUUGCAUUGGGUACUGCCGAACUUGAAUCACUGAGGGGAAACUAGAAUUCCAGGUGUAGGGGUGGAAUCUGUAGAUAUCUGGAAGAAUACCGGUGGCGAAGGCGGGUUUCUAGCAGAUGAUUGACGCUGAGGUGCGAAAGUGCGGGGAGCGAAC